CCCUUAGAUGUCCUGGGCCGCACGCGCGCUACACUGACAUGUUCAACAAGUUUCUCCUAGUUCGACAGGACUGGGAAAUCUUUGAACGCAUGUCGUGAUAGGGAUAGAUCAUUGCAAUUAUUGAUCUUGAACGAGGAAUUCCUAGUAAACGCGAGUCAUCAGCUCGCAUUGAUUACGUCCCUACCCUUUGUACACACCGCCCGUCGCACCUACCGAUUGAAUGUUUCGGUGAAGAUUCCGGAUAGGACUGAUUUGAUUUAUUUCAUUUCUGACCUAAAAGCUAUCUAAACCUCAACAUUUAGAGGAAGGUGAAGUCGUAACA
rnacentral:rRNA from 1 species